rnacentral:rRNA from 1 species
AGUGAACGCUGGCGGUAGGCCUAACACAUGCAAGUCGAACGGCAGCACAGUAAGAGCUUGCUCUUACGGGUGGCGAGUGGCGGACGGGUGCGGAAUACAUCGGAAUCUACUUUUUCGUGGGGGAUAACGUAGGGAAACUUACGCUAAUACCGCAUACGACCUACGGGUGAAAUCAUGGGAUCUUCGGACCUUGCGCGAUUGAAUGAGCCUAUGUCGGAUUAGCUAGUUGGCGGGGUAAAGGCCCACCAAGGCGACGAUCCGUAGCUGGUCUGAGAGGAUGAUCAGCCACACUGGAACUGAGACACGGUCCAGACUCCUACGGGAGGCAGCAGUGGGGAAUAUUGGACAAUGGGCGAAAGCCUGAUCCAGCCAUACCGCGUGGGUGAAGAAGGCCUUCGGGUUGUAAAGCACUUUUGUUGGGAAAGAAAAGCAGCAGGUUAAUACCCCGCUGUUCUGACGGUACCAAAAGAAUAAGCACCGGCUAACUUCGUG